AGCUUGUGUGGCUAUGAUUCUUUUAAAUGUUUUAACCCGUUUUCACACUCCAAACCCGAAAAAAUAAAACCAAGCGAUCCAAAAAAAAUAAAACACGCGAUGGCUGAGUUUGUGGAGUGCAUGAAGAAGACGAAGAGCCCUCCCUUCCAAGACGAAGGAAGAGCUGCCAUCGCGAGUUGAGCUUGCAAGAAUUCUAUGCCAAUCAGGUUUUUAAUGGAGUAAUCUUGUUCGUUUAUGUCAGUCUCAAAGUUGGACCAUCUGCUGUACUUUGGAUUUAACAUCUUUGGUGGUGUUUGUUCAUGGAACUUCUCAUCCAAGUGAUCAUGUUUGUAGUACUUUUUGGGUUGCUUAGAUGAUAUUUCUUGGGGCCAACUUGUGCAAUUUAUUGAAGUUAAUUAUCAAUUUAAGGACCACCUGCUCUCAAGCAAUUCUAUGUGAAAAGGCUAUUUGAACACAAGGCCAACCUCUUUAUCUCAAAGCUUGUUCCAUUUGAUA